UACGUAGGGGGCUAGCGUUGUCCGGAUUUAUUGGGCGUAAAGAGCGUGUAGGCGGCCAUGUAGGUCCGGUGUGAAACUCGAGGCUUAACCUCGAGAUGUCAUCGGAACCAUUUGGCUAGAGUCCGGAAGAGGAGAGUGGAAUUCCUGGUGUAGCGGUGAAAUGCGCAGAUAUCAGGAAGAACACCAAUGGCGAAAGCAGCUCUCUGGGACGGUACUGACGCUGAGACGCGAAAGCGUGGGGAGCGAACAGG
rnacentral:rRNA from 1 species